GAAACAAUCACAUAUGCUCAGUUAAAUUUUUUCAAUAUUGACAGUAUCCAAACCAACAAUUUAAAUCUUUGGUGCUACAUCAGCAAAUCAAUCUUAUUUCCAAACAACACUAUUAUGUUUCAACACCCUACAGAACCCUCUAACAGCAUAUCAAACAUUAAUCACUUUCCUUUUAGCCUUGUUAGCACCAAUUCAAAUAUGGGAAUACUACCAAGCAUACCUACUUACUUCAUCUAAGGCUCAAACACAUUUGAAACAUACUAACUUGAUUGAGUCCUUUACAUAACACUCUAACAGUCUCAAACCAAAUACAGUUAUAGGAACUUCACCAUUCAAACGGAACCCAGCUAGAAUACACAAUGAUUCAUGUGAUCUAUGGCACAAACAAUAAAAUGUAAAUAAAACUCAGAUAAGUCUGCUUCCAUCCCUUAAACUCUCAUUUCCAUCUUUAAACUGAAACUUACAUCAAGUAAAGUUCAGAAAAAUGUACCUGGAAUUCAAAUCAAAACAGAAAAAUGAGGAAUUCAGCAAUAAACAGUAACAGCCAGCCCAGAUUCAGCAAUUAAAACAGUGAAAAUCCACUCAGAAGAAUCAAUAGAACAGUAAACCAUUCAGCAAACUUAAACCAGCUCUUUCAAUACCCAAGUUCAGUCCAUUUUUACCCUAGAUGAGUCAAAAAUUAUUUCAGAAAUUGAUGACUUCAAGAAUCACAAAGGAAAACUGAAUGAAACAGUGAUUUUUAUGAGAUUUUUCAGUCGUUUUUUUUCUCAUUUUCUGUCUCUCAGCUCUCUUGGGUCUGCCUUUCAAUGCAAGAAAAGGUGCCUUUAUGGGCAAGCCAAUAAGGCAACCUUUCAGAUUUUAGUUUUACCCUUUAACCCCUUUUCAAAUUUGCUUUUAGCUUAGAGAUCCCUAGCCAGUUUUUGUUUUUGCUUAACUACCCUCAGCUCAAAUAUCAGAGUUUCAAAACAGCCCCCUCCCCAGCUUCCUUUAAGACCCCUGUUAUUUACAAGUAACCCAUAUGGGUAUGGAUCAAACUGACCCUGGGCUGAAUUUACUCAAGACCCAACCCAGAACAUUAGCCUGAACCUAAAGGCAUGAAACCCCAGGCCCAAAUACAAUCUAGACUCUGAAUCUACCAAGAGCAGAAAGUAAACACUUAUGUGAAAACUAAAAGUUUUAACUGCGCGACUGACGAACUACAAGAACAAGCAAAAAGUGAAUUAGAUUAUUAAAAAGAGACGGCCUAACUAUAUUAACUUAGGAGACUAAAUCAAGAGCAAAAACAAAGGCUCAAGCAUAUUGUUGAUAGAAAAUCGACAAAUGGACCUCUAAACCUUGACAAGAAAUACGAACACAAAAUUUAAUGCCAUUCAGAACCUUGUUCGAAUCAGCCUACUUCAAUAAAGAUGAGAAAAAGAAAAAGAAGGAGAGUAGGACAUGAAUCAAAACGGACACGAGAGGAAAAAAAUAAAGAAAGCUUACCGAUUACAACUCGACCCCAACGCUUGACUUCCUGACUUAACACAAUCAGUGUUAGUCGAAUUAGACUCGAAAAUCUUGCGACUUCGGACGCCUGCGGUCAUGCAAGCCACAGAAUCGUAAACGAAAACGAUUUGGCUUCUUAGGGAUUCGAACUCUGUCCUUAGAUCCAAGAUUCGACGGAUUUGGGAGGGAUUCGAGGGAUAUGGGUUAGAGAUUUUGAAAGAGGGGGUCGUAGGGGUUUCAAGGUAUUAGUUUGGAGGGAUUUGGGAGAAGUUAGGUUUUGGUCUAACUUUCGAUUAAAGAUUCGUGAGGCUGGGCUGGGAUUCGAGAGUGGGGAUUUGGAGAGUUGGAAAGAGGAGAAGGAGAAGAAUCGAUGGUGUAAAAAUGGGGUUAAUCGGAGCAACGCCACUGGCAGAGGCGAUUUCCGGCAGGCGGCUCACGGCGGUUCGAAGUGGCGUUUGGUUGAGGUCUCUAAGGGUUUGAGGGAGAUGAGAGACGAGACGGGGGGUAGGGGGCUGUUA
rnacentral:lncRNA from 1 species